UCUCAGUUCGGAUUGGAGGCUGAAACCCGCCUCCAUGAAGUUGGAUUCGCUAGUAAUCGCGCAUCAGCCAUGGCGCGGUGAAUACGUUCCCGGGCCUUGUACACACCGCCCGUCAAGCCAUGGGAGCCGGGGGUGCCUGAAGUUCGUGACCGCAAGGAGCGACCUAGGGCAAAACUGGUGACUGGGGCUAAGUCGUAACAAGGUACC
rnacentral:rRNA from 1 species